rnacentral:rRNA from 1 species
UACGAAGGGGGCUAGCGUUGUUCGGAUUUACUGGGCGUAAAGCGCACGUAGGCGGAUCGUUAAGUCGGGGGUGAAAUCCUGGAGCUCAACUCCAGAACUGCCUUCGAUACUGGCGAUCUUGAGUCCGGAAGAGGUGAGUGGAACUCCUAGUGUAGAGGUGGAAUUCGUAGAUAUUAGGAAGAACACCAGUGGCGAAGGCGGCUCACUGGUCCGGUACUGACACUGAGGAGCGAAAGCGUGGGGAGCGAACAGG